UAAAGGCAAGGGAAUUGCAUCCGAGGACUAGUAGCCUGAGUAUUUGAAAAAUCCCCACUCUAGACAUUGCUCAGAGUAGGCUGUAGAUAACUGGUUCCAUCGGGGAUUUCCAUUGGAUUGUGUCUUCCAAACUGUAGGUUCACAGCUUCUUUAAUUUUGAUUAUUGUGGGCCCACUUGAUAUUGUAAAUUUAAAUUAAUUUAAAUACUGUAGUUUAUUGCGUUACAGUAUAAAUAAAUUUAUUUUAUUUUUAUGUUACAAAAAGUAUUUACGCAUAACUCCAAAAUUACUGUAUAUAACAAAUAAAAUAUUUUAUUGAAUAUUUUGUUUUA